rnacentral:hammerhead_ribozyme from 1 species
NUCCAGCUGACGAGUCCCGAAUAGGACGAAACGCGCGUCCUGGAU